AUCAUGACCUGAGCUGAAGGCAGAGGCAUAACCCACUGAGCCACCCAGGCGCCCCUUCACCAUCAUUUUCUAAUGAGGAAGUGCACACACA